GUGGCAACUGGUUUACUAUCACAUAGAACAUUAGUACGCUCAAAAUAUGGUUUUAACAUAUUAAUAUGACACACUCUAUUUUGUUUGCGCCGACCUGGAGUUUUUACAAUAUAAUUCAAAUCAUUAAUUUUACUCUCUAUUGUAUAAGGACCACAAUAUUUAGCCUGUAAAGGAUGUCCAGGGACUGGCAAAAAUACAAGUACCUUAUCACCAGGCUCAAAAACUCUAUCCCUGGCAUCUUUAUCAUACCAAAUUUUCAUCUUGUUCUGUACAUUUUUUAAGUUUUUCUGAGCAAUUUGACAAGCAGUAUACAAUUUUUCUUUCAAUCUAGAUACAUAGUCUAAAAGAUUCAAGUCAGUAU
rnacentral:lncRNA from 1 species